CCCGAUUCGCGGAUUUUCCCCUCCCCUGUUCUCUCUCUCCUGACAUGGAUUGAUCAUUGAAUAAAACCUUUACUUCUCUCUCUAAACUAACAAACCUUCUCACCUUCUCUUUCUCGCUCUAGGGUUUCCAAAGAGGAUUUCAACUGACGACAACGUAGAAGACCCGGUGCCAUAAUUUUCAGAUGCUGGGUUCUACUCAGCGCAGUACAAGAAGCUUUAUAGUCUCUAUUGAUCUUACGCGUCUCAAUUUCUCUGUCACGCAAAGAAUCAGCUUCUCCCUGUUAGUCUGCAGCUAACAACUAGUGCUAGAAGAAAGAGCACAAAAUAUUUGAGAUUUUCAUGUUGUUAAAUGCCGUGUGGUGGAUGUUGAAUGGUUGUUACCAUGGACUUAAAUGUUUCACCUGUACCUGAAGAUGAUGAAGAGAAUUUUGGAGAGCAUGUAGGUGCUCCAGAAGAACGUUUUGAAACUGCUGUUGAAACUGCACGCCGGGAGCGUGAAGAAAGACGUAAGCGUUUGAGAAAUGAGCGUUCAGACGACAGACCUGUGCAUGUGCCUAGGCAGCCAGUGCAUGAACAAUACUAUCCAACCAAACACUUUAAAACUUAUGAUAAAACUAAGCUACCUCCUGGCUGGUUGGAUUGCCCUGCAUCUGGUCAGGAAGUCUUUGGUAUCAUUCCCUCCAAGGUUCCACUUGGUGAAGCCUAUAAUGACUGUGUUCCUCCUGGAAAAAGAUACUCUUUUAAACAAGUGAUUCAUCAACAAAGAGUACUAGGAAGAAAACUUGGUUUGGUGAUUGAUUUGACAAAUACCACUCGCUACUAUUCAACAACAGAUUUGAAAAAAGAGGGUAUUAAGUAUGUUAAGAUUCAAUGUAAAGGGCGUGAUUCUGUACCUGAUAAUGCAUCUGUAAAUAACUUUGUUUAUGAGGUUACGCAAUUUCUUGCUCGUCAAAAAUCUAAGAAGCAUAUUCUCGUUCAUUGUACGCAUGGGCAUAAUCGCACAGGAUAUAUGAUUGUCCAUUACAUAAUGCGGUCACUUUCAAUGUCUGUCACACAGGCAAUAAAAUUAUUUGCUGAAGCACGUCCUCCAGGAAUCUAUAAACCGGACUAUAUUAAGACAUUAUAUGAAUUUUAUCAUGAAACAAAACCAGAAAUGGUUGUUUGCCCACCAACCCCAGAGUGGAAGAGAUCUUCUGAUCUAGAUCUUAAUGGUGAAGCAUUGCCAGAUGAUGAUGAUGAUGGAGGUUCAACUGCUCCUUUGCAUGACAAUCAUGAGACGGAUGCUAUAAUGACAAAUGAUGAUAUUCUGGGAGAUGAAAUACCUGUUGAUCAGUUGGAUGCUUUGCGACUGUUUUGCUACCAAACACUGAAGCUAAAUAUGCCUGAAAGAAGAAACCCACAAUUCCCAGGGUCACAUCCAGUAUCUCUCAACAGGGACAAUCUACAGCUGUUAAGGCAGCGAUAUUAUUAUGCAACAUGGAAAGCUGAUGGAACAAGAUACAUGAUGCUAAUUAUGAUAGAUGGCUGUUAUUUGAUUGAUAGGAGUUUUAAUUUUCGAAGGGUCCAGAUGAGGUUUCCUUGCAGAGGGACAAAUGAAGUUUUAGCUGAUAAGACGCAUCACUAUACCUUGCUUGAUGGGGAGAUGAUUAUUGAUACUAUGCCGGAAUCGCAGAAGCAGGAGAGAAGAUACCUCAUCUAUGAUGUGAUGGCAAUUAACCACAUGUCUGUUAUAGAGGUUAGAUUUACAGUAAAGUUUGUAUGAAAAAUAUGAUGCUUUUUGUACCAAAGAAAAUGUCAUGCUUUUGGUUUUGUAUAUUAGCACUAUAAUUUUUCCACCUGAAAGCAUCAUGUUAUGCCUUAAUAUAUAGUGAGCAUGAACAACUUUAUUCUGUUUAUUUAAAGUUGUAGGUCAAUCAAUAUUCUUAAGAUUAGCUGAAAACACCUAAAGGUGCAAAACGUGUCUAAAAUAUCUAAUUUUAAAACGUUUUAAAGAUGUAUGAAUGUGUCAUUUGAAGAGGAAGUGUAGGACGCAUGCAUCUUUGUUGUAGGCUAACAUUGUCAACCUAUUAUUUAUGAGAGUGAAUUUUGCUUUGUACAAACAACAAAUCUUCUUUUUUUGGUGUGGUAAUAGAGUUGGCAUUAUUUUGUUUUACAUGAUUUUUUUAUUAUUUUUUAUUUCUUUUAGAGACAUGGCAAGUGUGGAAAUAAAAAUUAGUUCCACAAAAUUUUUCAUUUGUUUUAAAUGCUGUUCAAAAUUACCAGUAUUUUUGUGCUAUGAAUCUAUGAAUUUCCCUGUGGGUUAGUGUUCAAUUUUUAAAUAUUAUUUUCAAUGUUUAGGAUCAUCCAGUUGAUGUCUUGAUGAAAUUGUGCCCAUUUUUGGAUUUAUGAAGUGUGUAUUGUCUUUGGUUAUUAAAAGUAAUAAUGCAACUCAAUUUUAUGUUACCAAAUCUGCUGAUUGUUUCGUGAUUCAAAAUUUGCUAGAGGCCUUUUUAUGAACGAUGGAAGAUGCUUGAAAAAGAAGUGAUUGAACCUCGGAAUUAUGAACGGCAGCAUAUUUAUCAGAGUAGGAAUCCUUAUUAUAGAUAUGACUUGGAACCCUUCAGGGUAUGUGAAUGAGGAAUGUUCCGUCUGCAGCACAUCUGACCCUUUGUUCUCCCCUCGUAUUCAAUUAUGCUAAUGAUUUGUUCUAAGUGCUUACCAGGUCAGGAGAAAGGAUUUCUGGUUACUUUCUACUGUUACCAAGCUUUUAAAGGAAUUUAUUCCAAAGCUUUCUCAUGAUGCAGAUGGUCUUAUUUUCCAGGGUUGGGAUGAUCCCUAUGUUCCUCGCACUCAUGAAGGGCUUCUGAAGUGGAAGUAUGCAGAUAUGAAUUCAGUUGACUUUCUAUUUGAGGUGGAUGCUGAUGAUCGCCAGUUACUUUAUCUGCAUGAACGAGGAAAGAAGAAGCUGAUGGAAGGGAAUACAGUUGUAUUCAGAGGUUGCUGUGAAUUUCUCAGUUAUCUUGCAUCUCUACUCCUGAAUGUUGAAAAUUUAUUCAUGCAAUUGAGAAUCUUAAAUCUGGACUUACCAUUUAUGCAAACCUUAGUCAAGGGAGAAAACAUGUAGGUUUAAUUUGAUCACAUUGGCAUGCUUGGUUUCUCUCUUCUAUCCUUCACUGAUCAUGUUGGCAGAGAGCUUUCUAGGGAAUCUGUUUAGGAUUCUAGCUGCUGUAAUUUGCCAUUUAGAUGGUUGGUUGUUGCAUCUCCUGUUACAGGAAGUAAUUUUGGCAUGGAUUACUUUCCACUGUUUUUUUUAUUGAAGAAGUCAUUUGUAACAAGGAAUUAAUAAUACUUCAUUACAAGUAAUUUCUCAGCGUUAUAAUAUUUCUAUGUCUGGGCAUGGUCUGGCUAUUGUAAAGUGCUUUUCAGUAUGUAAUGGCUUCGAAAUCUAGUUUGUCGUGAUUCAUUGUCUGGUGUCCUAUUUGGCUUCCUAAACUUGCAGAUGGUUCAGAUCCCUCUUCAUACUCGGGGAAAAUCAUCGAGUGUUCUUGGGAUUCAGAUGAACAGGUUUGGGUUUGCAUGCGGGUCCGGACAGAUAAAUCCACGCCAAAUGAUUUUAAUACCUACAGGAAGGUGAUGCGAAGCAUUAAGGACAAUAUAACAGAGGACAUCUUAUUGAAUGAGAUUUAUGAGAUCAUUCGCCUGCCCAUGUAUGCCGAUAGGAUAAGAAAUGAUAGCAAAGCUCACCAGCAUACAGCUUCAGCACGACGCAGGUGAUGGCGGUGGUAGUUUUUGUAAAGACCACUAUGGUUAAAGACUUAUAAGUGGUUCAGGUAAAAGAACCCAUUGAUGGACUUGUGAUGCUCAUGAUGUGAUGGUUUAGUUGGGUGAGCAUAUCAUCUACUGGGUCACUGAGAUGUUGUGUAAUUAGCUACAACCUUGUUAUAACCUCAUAGCUUGAACUGUGCUGGUGAGUUCUAUGAUCCGGUGGGUACACUCGGGAUAGUUUUCUACAUCAGACCCAAAAUUAUGUCUGAAUGAUAGUUGUCCAGAUCAAAGAGAAUUAGGAAUAGGAUCACCAUGUAUAUUAUUAUUAUUUCCUCCCUUUUUAUGUAGUGAUUGAUAAGUUCUUAUAAAAAGUUAGCCAUUUUUUAGAAUUAGAACGUAGUAUUUUUGGAGCAUGUUUUCACUUUUUGUCCUCUCAAUGUGAAUAUCAUUUUGGAAGUUCCUAUUUGAUCUCUCUAUGGUCG
rnacentral:misc_RNA from 1 species